rnacentral:rRNA from 1 species
GGGGACCGCAAGGCCUUGCGCUCAUGGAGCGGCCGAUGGCAGAUUAGGUAGUUGGUGGGAUAAAAGCUUACCAAGCCGACGAUCUGUAGCUGGUCUGAGAGGACGACCAGCCACACUGGGACUGAGACACGGCCCAGACUCCUACGGGAGGCAGCAGUGGGGAAUUUUGGACAAUGGGGGAAACCCUGAUCCAGCCAUGCCGCGUGCAGGAUGAAGGCCUUCGGGUUGUAAACUGCUUUUGUACGGAACGAAAAGGUCUUUUCUAAUAAAG